UACGUAUGGUACAAGCGCUAUCCGGAUUUACUGGGUGUAAAGGGAGCGUAGACGGCUUAGCAAGUCUGAUGUGAAAGCUAUGGGCUCAACCCAUAAACUGCGUUGGAAACUGUUCAGCUGGAGUGUCGGAGAGGUAAGCGGAAUUCCUAGUGUAGCGGUGAAAUGCGUAGAUAUUAGGAGGAUCACCGGUGGCGGAGGCGGCUUACUGGACGAUAACUGACGUUGAGGCUCGAAAGCGUGGGGAGCAAAC
rnacentral:rRNA from 1 species